rnacentral:pre_miRNA from 1 species
UUUAAGCGCAACUAUCAGUUUCAGUUUCUAAUUAUGAUCGUCCGUCUUAUUUAAAUAUUUUUAUAAUUAAUUAUUUUAUUAUUAUUAGAUGAUAAAAUAUAAAUAAUACUUUAUACGUGACUUAUAUUUUAUUUUUUUUAAUUUUUUUAAAAAUAAAAUAGAUGAUUAAAGUUGAUCACGAAAAUUUAUUACUCUACUUAAU